rnacentral:lncRNA from 1 species
CAGAGAUUAGUAAAGAAGGCUCCCAGGAAAGGCUCUAAGGACUGCAAUCAUUUUGACAAGGAGGCCGUGGGUGAAUAUGCUAAUGGCUGCCAAGUUUACACAACAUUUUCACACAGAGAAUUACGGCCUGCGGUCUCUGAGCACAAAGGGAGGUCAGGGUUAGCCUACAGCUUGUGGCCUUCAUGUUAGCUCCUGGGGUCCUGUUGGCCUGACUGAGGCAUGGCUACCAUUUGGGUGAUCAGGGAGUGUUUCUCUUCUGACUCUCAAAAUGGCAAGCCAAGGACAGCUCAGGGAAAGGCUGGGGCUGCCACAGCCUAAGAGCAGAAGGGUCCCUGAGUGGGUGGCUGGGUUCUGGAGCAGCCAGGCUUAGAGCAACUCUGCACAUCUCAUCCCAAACUGCCCUCCUCUCUCUCAGCAGGGACUCCAGGAGGAAGACUGGAAAGUGACUGGGAUUACACCUCCUUCCCAGGCUGCGGAGGCUGGUGGUGCCAGUGCACGCAGGUAGAAGCCAACAUCUUCUCCAUGGGAGCAGAUUAAUGGUAAAGGACUGUACUCUUCAACUCAUGCAGAGAAAAAUGAAUGGACUGAGCAGAACAAUAAUAAUAAGUGACAUUUGAAGAGCACUUUCCAGUUGACAAAGCCCUUUCACAUCCAUUGUCUCACUUGACCACUGGAGCAACCCUGUGAUGUAGGUUAUUAUUUCCGGUUUUGAAGAUGAGGCAACCUGAACACAAGGAUGUCACGUGACUUGUCCACGUUUGCAGGGUGGGCAAACCCUGGAGCCCAGGCUUGCACUGGAAUCCCCUGACUCCAGAUCCCAAGUUCCUUCCUUAACAAAAUAUUUGACUCAGUACACUGAGAGAACUUUGCCCCUGGCCUCAGAAAAAGUAGCUCAUGGUAUCUCCCAGUGUAGAGUCUGAUCUGCUUAGGAAAGUAAGUUUGAACCUUCCUGAAGGCAGAGGUAUGGACGAGAUGACCCAGACCUCAUCUAAAGCCAGGCAGCUUUGUGAUUCCCUUCCAGGAUUUUAUGAAAGAAAUAAAAUUAUUCACUUGGAAUGUUUGCUACCAGAAAUGUCAGAGAAGCUGUAAAGGGCCAUUUAUUUGGGACCUUCUAACCAUGUGUUAUGGUAGAAAAUUUGAGAGAAGGAACAGGCCAUUAGGAAAAUUAUUUUAUUCACUUCAACUAUUAUUGUCUUGUUCUGAUAAUAUUCUAUUUGAAAACUUGCAUUCAUAGCACUCUUUCACAUAAAAUCGUGUUCUCUGGGUCCUUCCCACCUCAUCAUGCUUCUUUCUCUCACAUGUAUAGAGAUUGUUUUUCAUUUUGAACCCAGUUGCUUCCUCUUUGAUGCUGUAGAAAAUCACCCUUCUGGGCGUGUGGCAUAAUGACUUCCAUGGCAAUGGGCUGAAGUUACAGACAAGCCAUUACGUGAGCACGACAGGCUGAGCAGAGAGACCAGAGCCAGUUCUUUUAAAACUGCUGUCCUUGAUAAUAGCAGGACAGAGGAGAUCGAAACCAUCCUGGCCAACAUGGUGAAAACCGGUCUCUACUAAAAAUACAAAAAUUAGCUGGGCAUGGUGGCGCGUGCCUGUAGUCCCAGCUACCCAGGAGGCUGAGGCAGGAGAAUCGCUUGAAUCCGGGAGGCGGAGGCUGUAGUGAGCCAAGAUCACACCACUGCAGUCCAGCCUGGGCAACAGAGUGAGACUCCAUCUAAAAAAAAAAAAAAAAAAAAAAAAAAAGAAGAAGCAAGUAAAUAGAAUGGAAAGAGGAAAGGAAGGCCUAUUGCAUGUAGGCUUCUCUGUGUAAGCAGUACGGUGCAUCCCGUAGAGGACAAUGGUGGACUCCUUAGAGUCAAGUGUCUCUGUGCCUUUUACUAGCUGGGGAACUUGCUCAAGUCAUAUCACCUCAUUGUACUUCAUUUUCCUCAUCUGAAAAAUUAGCAUGAUAAUUGUACUACCUACCUCAUAGAACUGUUUUUGAGGAUUAAAGAAGAAAUUCGUAGAAAUAGGGCAGUUCCUGAUACUUAGUAUGCAUUCAGUGUCAGCCAUGAGCAUUUUAGAAAUAUAGAAGCUCAAAUCCAUUAAGGACUAAAUCCUGGUUGUUAUUUAAAUUAUUCAUUUGUUCAUUCAAUUCACAUUUAUUAAGCACAUAUUAUGAGCCAGGUAAUGAAUAGCCGCUGUGUAAAUAAAUAUCAAUAAGCGACUGCCCUUCCCAUCUAGGAACUCAGACAUGCAAGCAAAAUUUACAUCAAUGGUGGGAAGUGCUGGAGGAGCAUUUACGUGGGAACACAGACCCUAUCCCUGGAGAGGUCAGGAUGGCUUCCUAGGGGUGACGUUCAAGGGGGUGCAUGGGAGGUGAGGAGGGGGAGUGCAUUCCAGAGGAGGAUGCAACAUGUUUAAACAAAGGCUCAGAUGGAGGGAGAGCUGGUGAUUUUGCUCCUCAGGGUGUAAGGGGUUCUGAGAGGGGAGUUGAGGCUGAAGAGGCAGGCGGGGCCAGUGCUGGAAGGCCCUUGCCUGUGCAGCUAAAUCCUUAGGUUUGCUCCACGGUGUUCAAACUUCUUCAGCAUUACAUAUAUUUUUCCCCAACAAAAUCUCAUGGAAAACUCCAGCAUAUGAAAAAAAAAUAAAAGCAGCAUUUUGUUAACAGACAUUUAGUUUGUAAGUUCAAAUUUAUGACGGUUACAGAAUGAAUCAAUAAGAUCAAUAAAGAAGUAUUAAUUAAUACAACAUUUUGGGCAUAUGUGUGACAAACCCAACUUCCAUUUUAUAUAUAUGUAUAUAUUUAUAUAUAUUUCUAAUUAUAUACUAUUGAGAAUAUUCUGAUUCACUCUGAGAACUAGUUGCAAAAAGUAGUUUUUAAAAGAAAAAAAAAAAACUCAGUUUGCAAUCUCUAAAUGCCCUUAACUGUUCUGGAAGUUUAAAAGGGCAAUAGUAAGACAUUUUUACUUUAAAUUUGAAUUAUCAUCUAUCAACGUCUUACAUUUCUUAUCAUAAAUAGAAAAGUCAGAUGAGAAGCACCAUAAUCUUAAAAC